UAAAUCCUUUAGAAGUCAAAAUCCUGGCUGUGGCGGCUGCGUGGCUGUGGCGGCUGCGUGGCUGUGGCUGCUGCCUGGCUGUGGCAGCGUUGGGCUUGUCCCUGAGGAGUCAGACGUUGGGCUUGUCCCUGAGGAGUCAGACCUCUCUGCUGCUCAGGUCCGCCUUGGGUCCCGCUGCUCUGCAAUCCGCUUGGCUCCCUUUUCAUCUGCUCUGUUUGGUAUGCAUUAGGUUUCCUGACCCCGAUGCGUCACUGAUUCAUCCGUACCAGAACAUUCCCUUCCUGGAACUCUGGAUGUUUUAGAUGUCACUCUGACCUCCGCUUCUCUUAGUUAAUUGUUUUAAAUGCAUAUGAGAGCAGCUCUGUUCUUCCCGUUUGGGCCACAGCCACGCACAGCCACAUGGUCCCCAGAGCCCUGCCAAUCCAUACAUUCUGUCCAUAGAAUGAGAUAGCAUUGCUUAGCUCCCAGGUCAAGGAGAAAGGGGCCACUGUGCAAGCCCUGCUCCCUGGACAAAGAGCCUUAAAGGGCCAGCAUCUCCACGCACUGACAGUAAUGAGAGCCAGGGGGAAGGGCCAGGAUGUAGCCUCCUCUUUUCUCACCACUUCCCCCCACCCCACCCCCGUCCUCUUUCUUUUUGCCCUUGUGCACACCGCAAUGAACUUUCGUCCUAAUGACAAACACUCCACUUUUUAGUCCAUACACACUGCUCCUACUUAACGCUCCCGAUGGCUGAAGCGCCCCUGAGAAGUCUGCAUUUUGCCUGCUAUGAAGCAUGCGCAGAUCACUGAGAUGGCCAAUUUCAAAGAACAGAAUUUUCUACAAGGAGACCCCAUGCGCAGGAAGUUCCCAGGCAUCUUACAAGAAUAUCCAGGAGCCCUCCCUGGGAUGCUUUCCCUGGCCUCAGAUGUGGACAGCCUUCUACCAACCCCAAUCUUCCCAUGGCCCCGCACCAUGUGUCUAGAAAACAAAAAGCGUGUUCUCAUCUCAAGCCUGGGGAUGCAUUUCUAACAAUCUCCUGCACAAAAUAUGCCCCUGCCAUCCAUAGUUUAGGUGGCGAGAUGAAGCUUUUCUUCUCACCUGUGUGCUUCAACAGAAACUGUGACCAACUUUUCAUCUCUGGAUCCCAGCACUGACCAUGGAGCCAACAAUGCCGCCACUCAGAGUACUUUUGAUUGACAGUUGGUGAGUCUGCAGAUGCAGGACAUGGGACACAGAGAGCGUCGGAGUGCUCAUUAGAAGAUAAACUUCAUGUUGUGGAGGUGACCCGUGUGAGCAUUGGAAGGACUGUAGCUCAGACUCGCUUUGAGAUGUCACGAAACUUGCAGACAUCCCCUUUUUUGCUUUUUAAGGAUUUUUUAAUUUUGUGUGUAUGUAUGUGUUCGUGUACAAGUGUGCGUGAGUGCUCUCGGGGGGCUGGAAGAGCGUGUCAGAUCCUGCUAGAGUUGCAGGCAGUUGUGAGUCAUCUGACUAGGGUGCUGGGACUCAAACUCCAGUCCUGUGCAAGGACAGCCAGCUCUCUUACUGACUGAGCUCUUUCCACACCUUAGACAGGGAAACAGAUCCCAAAGAAACCAGCCGGCCUGCUGGGGCCUCACAAGCAGAGAGAACAACUAAACUAGAGUCAGAAGUCAGUCCUUGCUUGUGGGAAGGCUUUCAACUUAGCCUUAAGGACCAGACCCUUCCUGUAAAUGUCCAAUGUCUUUGUGAAAACUCUUUUCCCCUCACUGCUGGGGCUGGAGCCCAGUGCUUGCCAUGCUGGGUAGGUAACCGCUCGACCACUGAUGUCCAACUCCAGCCUGAAGUGGCGCCAUUUUUAUUGUUCCAAGUGUAUCAUCUCUAUUUUCUUUGAAGGCCAGCCAUUCCUUCUCGUUUCUCUUGCCUGGUGUCCUGUGGGUUUUAGUCAUAGGCAGUGGGAUUCUUACUUCUCACCCUCAGACCUGAUAGCAACUUGAAACUCCCUUUUCCAUUUACCUGUCUCUGUUACGCAGACCAUGAGACUCCCAGGCAGGCCCCGUGUCCUCCGCAGUGCACAGGGCACAGUCUUAGGCGGGUCAGCCUCAGCCCGUCGGGACCAGGAGAGCCUUUGGCAUUUGUGUAGCGUACACGUUUGCAUCCAGGCUGCCCCAGCAGUCACAGCAGGCUUAGCUCAUCGAGUGCUCUCGGACUGUGACCCAAGGGUGACUUUACUGGGCCCUGCUCUUCCUCCCACUAUGACUCACAUAUGUCAUAAAUUGUUGCUGCUCUCCAAGAGCCAGUGAGGCUAUACUGGCCUCAGAAAUGGCAAAGAAAAGCAACAAUUCAUCAAAACAAAAGCCACCGUGCGGUCGUCACCCACUCCUAACAGAAGUGUUCAGAUCUUAAUGAUCGAAAACCGCGGACAGUUACACCCCUUUAUCCCGUCCACAAGCACUGCAGGCAUUUCUGCUGGGGCUUAUGCCUUGAUUUACACACCGGGGGGUGACCAGAGCCGGGAUUUACAGUUAAGUCCUCCAGCAUCUCUUGUAUCCUGGUUCCCUCUCUGCAAUAAAGAGUGUGGCAUUGA